rnacentral:rRNA from 1 species
CGCGUAGGCGGUUUGAUAAGUCAGAUGUGAAAGCCCACGGCUUAACUGUGGAAGUGCAUUUGAAACUGUCAGACUUGAGUAUCAGAGGGGAAAGUGGAAUUCCCGGUGUAGAGGUGAAAUUCGUAGAUAUCGGGAGGAAUACCGGUGGCGAAGGCGACUUUCUGGCUGAAUACUGACGCUGAGGCGCGAGAGCGUGGGGAGCAAACA